AAGCGGUGGAGCAUGUGGUUUAAUUCGAUGCAACGCGAAGAACUUACCUAGGCUUGACAUCCCUGGAAUUUGUGGAAACACAAAAGUGCCUUUCGGGGAACCAGGAGACAGGUGCUGCAUGGCUGUCGUCAGCUCGUGUCGUGAGAUGUUGGGUUAAGUCCCGCAACGAGCGCAACCCUUAUCUUUAAUUGCCAGCAUUCAGUUGGGCACUUUAAAGAGACUGCCGGUGUUAAACCGGAGGAAGGUGGGGAUGACGUCAAGUCCUCAUGGCCUUUAUGCUUAGGGCUACACACGUGCUACAAUGGGUGGUACAAAGAGAAGCCAACUCGCGAGAGCGCGCCAAUCUCAAAAAAGCCAUCCUCAGUUCGGAUUGGAGUCUGCAACUCGACUCCAUGAAGUUGGAAUCGCUAGUAAUCGCGGAUCAGCAUGCCCGCGGUCGAAUACGUUCCCGGGCCUU
rnacentral:rRNA from 1 species